rnacentral:misc_RNA from 1 species
AGUUUUGACAUUUGCACACAAAAUAACUUUCUAACAGCAACAUUUACAUGUAAUUGAUCUUCUUGCACCCAUCACCCUGGUUAUAUAAACCAAUAUGAAUCUAUUCAUCUACCAUAUAUUGGCAUAUGCAUGCAGACAGUAAUUUGUAUACUGUGUCAACAAGCAUGGGUAGACAUAGCGUCCUUAAUGCAACAACUAUUUUAAAAUAAACCCAGUCUCGAGAUUGAGAAACUGAAG